UAAAGGUUUGAAACCUGGUUUUAAAGAAUAAAAGUCUUCAGUGGGUGGUGGUCUUCAGUAAAAGUCCUCAGACAGAGUUUUGUUUAUCUUCAGUUUGUCAGAAAGGUCGGGCAGUCUCUGCAGCGUGGGAAGUGAGGAAGUUAUGAGCUGUGCUGACGGUCCUUCAGAGUCCAGACUGAGAUGGCACAGCGAGGGGAGAGACAUGUUAAACCUGCUCUGGACACAUGGUGAGACGUAGGUCAAGUCCUCCGUCCUCCGUCCUCCUUCCUGUGACCUGGAAAUCGAUCUGCCAUCAUGAAGGACAUCCCAGAUCCUAAAAUGCACCUCAAGGAUUGAGGAUCGAGGAGCAGCUGGAAAGUCCUCAGUCCUCCUCCUACCCAGACCACCGGCUGGCGGACUCCUCCUCAGCUCCUCAUGCCGCCUCAUCUCAGCACCAUGCGCACCUGAUGUUCCCCGCAGUCACUUCAGGGUUCUGGGAAAUGUAGUUCCUGCUCCGGACUUGGGAUCACCAGGACACACCUGGGGGACCUGAAGGCCUCAUGUCUCAGGACACCUGGUCGAAACAGGAAGUGAAAGACCUACGUGUGAGGAAGUCUCGGAUCUGUCUGAUGAGACUUCUCAGCUCCUCGUUGCUCUGGUCCAC